AGCUGAGAAGCGGCGCAGGGACCGGAUUAAUGCGCAGCUUGGCAUUCUCAGGAAACUAAUUCCCAAAUCAGAUAAGAUGGACAAGGCAGCUCUCCUAGCAAGUGUGAUUGAUCAAGUAAGAGAUCUUAAGGGAAAAGCAAUGGAAGUAAGCAAAAGCAUCACAAUUCCAACAGAAUUCGACGAAGUAACAGUAGACGUCGAUGAGUCUGAUGAUAUUUCUCAAGAUUUAAGCUCCACAAGCAACAAGAAGAACAAAGAAGACAAUAUCUUCGUGAGGGUGUCCUUUUGCUGCGACGAUCGGCCAGAGGUGUUCUCGGAACUCAUCAGGGUGCUCAAAGGCCUUAGACUGAGCAUAGUUAGAGCAGAUAUUGCAAGUGUAGGAGGAG
rnacentral:misc_RNA from 1 species